UUGGACUUGGUGACCCUGACGGUCUUUUCCGAGCUAGAUGGCUGUGGGAUUUUAUAACACACAUCUCCCCUUGCACUGAGAGCGAUGGUUCAAGUGUGUCUUGCAGCCAAAAAAUUGCAAGGAGGCUUCAAAUUAGGUGGAUGCAAAGCCAGGUGGAGCAGAUAAAUAAAUGAGGUCCUUCAGGCGCAAGCCAUGCGGCCGAGGGCAGCCGCUUCUGUCUGCUUUCCACUAGAGGUAGCUGGAGCCACGCACAACCCACUGCCAGCCUGGGGAUUUCCACAUCCCAGCCCCAGAUCUGCAUCAAUAUAAGCCAUUAGCCAAAAGCAGGAGGUUGCUCGAUGCAGCCCCCUCUCACAGGCUCCAUCCUUGUGGUCCGGCCCUGCCCGAGCUUGGGUGGCAAAGCCUGUGUCUGGGGGUAUUUUACAGGCAGCAGGAAAAAAAGAAUAUUCCCCUCUGCUGCUGGAGUUCAUCACACGGCUUCUCAGCCCCANNNNNNNNNNNNNNNNNNNNCCCCACCCCUGGAGAUGCUCAAGAGAAGUGUGGACGUGGCACUGGGGGCCAUGGGUUAGUGGUGGGACUUGGCUGAUGGUUGGACUUGGUGACCCUGAGGGUCUUUUCCAAGCUAGAUGGCUGUGGGAUUUUAUAACGCACGUCUCCCCUUGCACCGAGAGUGAUGGUUCAAGUGUGUCUCGCAGCCAAAAAAUUGCAAGGAGGCUUCAAAUUAGGUGGAUGCAAAGCCAGGUGGAGUAGAUAAAUAAAUGAGGUCCUUCAGGCGCAAGCCAUGCAGCCGAGGGCAGCCGCUUCUGUCUGCUUUCCACUAGAGGUAGCUGGAGCCACGCACAACCCACUGCCAGCCUGGGGAUUUCCACAUCCCAGCCCCAGAUCUGCAUCAAUAUAAGCCAUUAGCCAAAAGCAGGAGGUUGCUCGAUGCAGCCCCCUCUCACAGGCUCCAUCCUUGUGGUCCGGCCCUGGCCGAGCUUGGGUGGCAAAGCCUGUGUCUGGGGGUAUUUUACAGGCAGCAGGAAAAAAAGAAUAUUCCCCUCUGCUGCUGGAGUUCAUCACACGGCUUCUCAGCCCCAGGGAAAGAUGUCUGCAAUGCUGGAGGAGAGAAAUUAUAUUGCUGAGUUUCUCACAAGGGGAAAACUGCUGAAGGAUGUCAAGGUUCCCCAUGGGGCAGUACCGCUUUCCCCCUGCUGACACCAUCCCGUGCCCCUGCAGGUGCCGUGGCACCCGAUGCCAGCCUGAUGGCCCCGUGGCAGCGGUCUGAGACACCGGAUCUCCUCCCAGCCAUAUCAGCGGCUUUCCCAGCCCUGAACUGGGAGCCACCCGCUGCCAGUGAGUGGCAAUUUGGUUAAAGGAGGCAGAAAAGCUUCCCUGGCCACCAGCUGGGACUGAUCCCCAAACCUCUCCACCAGCAGCGAGCUGUUUCCAGCAGCUGUGCUCAGUGCUGCUGCUGGUCCCUUACCUGCCUGUCUGCACAGGUUUAGGCAUUUGUGCCUGAAUUUGCGUGUUUUGGCUUGAGAGAGCUUGCCACACACACGCACGACCUCCUGGAGCUUUCUUGUUUGGCAUCCCGUGAAAAAAAUCCAUGCUAAGCCAGCCCAAUGCAAGCGCUGAUUUAUUUGUGCUGGAAGGGGACAUGUUUCGCUGUCCUAACACCAGAUGCCCAAAAUACGUUAAAUCAACCCCCAGAAUAGAAACCCCCUCUGAUUUUUUCCCCCCUCUCUUUGUCCCUUUGGCGGGAUAAGGUUGGAGGCUGCAGGGAGGGCUGCUGAGAGCUGCCUUUGGGGGAGCUGGGUGGCUCUGUGGGAUGUUCUGCCCAGUGCCCGUGUCCCCGUGCCCCGCAGCAUCAGGGCAGGGGCGCCUUUGUGCGGGAUACCAGCAGAUUUAGGGCAUAAUAAAUUGUAUUUAAAAGUUACA
ensembl:lncRNA